CCAUGGCGUACCGAGGUCAGGGCCAGAAAGUGCAUAAGGCAAUGGUGCAGCCCAUCAACCUCAUCUUCAGAUACUUGCAGAAUAGAUCCCGGAUCCAGGACUGGCUGUAUGAGCAACUGAACAUGCGGAUAGAGGGCUGUGUUAUUGGUUUUGAUGAGUACAUGUACCUUGUAUUAGAUGAUGCAGAAGAAAUUCAUUCUAAAACAAAGUCAAGAAAACAACUGGGUCAGAUCAUGCUGAAAGGAGAUAACAUUACUCUGCUACAAAGUGUCUCCAACUAG